AGGCACGAAAGCGUGGGGAGCGAACCGGAUUAGAUACCCGGGUAGUCCACGCCGUAAACGAUGGAUACUAGCUGUUGGAGGUAUCGACCCCUUCAGUAGCGAAGCUAACGCGUUAAGUAUCCCGCCUGUGGAGUACGGCCGCAAGGCUAAAACAUAAAGGAAUUGACGGGGACCCGCACAAGCGGUGGAUCGUGUUCUUUAAUUCGAUGAUAAACGAAGAACCUUACCAGGGCUUGACAUCCAGGGAAGGUCUGCGAAAGCGGACUGUGCCUUUUGGAACCCUGUGACAGGUGCUGCAUGGCCGUCGUCAGCUCGUGUCGUGAGAUGUUUGGUUAAGUCCAUCAACGAGCGCAACCCUUGCAACUAGUUGGAUUUUUCUAGUUGGACUGCCCCGGUAACGGGGAGGAAGGAGGGGAUGAUGUCAGGUCAGUAUUUCCCUUACGUCCUGGGCUAGAAACACGAUACAAUGGCUGGUACAAUGCGCAGCGAAGCCGCGAGGUGGAGCAAAUCGCAUCAAAGCUAGUCCCAGUUCGGAUUGGAGGCUGAAACUCGCCUCCAUGAAGUCGGAAUCGCUAGUAAUCGCAGAUCAGCAAGCUGCGGUGAAUACGUUCCCGGGUCUUGUACACACCGCCCGUCAAACCAUGAAAGUGACCAACACCCGAAGUCCGAUUCGUCGGCCUAAGGUGGGGGGCAUGAUUGGGGUUAAGUCGUAACAAGGUAUCCGUACCGGAAGGUGCGGAUG
rnacentral:rRNA from 1 species